rnacentral:rRNA from 1 species
UACGUAGGUGACAAGCGUUAUCCGGAUUUAUUGGGCGUAAAGCGCACGCAGGCGGCCAUUCAAGUCUGACGUGAAAUCUCUCGGCUUAACCGGGAGCGGUCGUUGGAAACUGAGUGGCUUGAGGCGAUGAGAGGGGUGUGGAAUUCCCGGUGUAGUGGUGGAAUGCGUAGAUAUCGGGGGGAGCAUCAGUGGCGAAAGCGGCACCCUGGCAUUAGCCUGACGCUCAUGUGCGAAAGCGUGGGGAGCGAACGGG